UGCUCAGGAUGAACGCUGGCGGCGUGCCUAAUACAUGCAAGUCGAGCGAACGGACGAGAGUGCUUGCACUCUCUGAUGUUAGCGGCGGACGGGUGAGUAACACGUGGGUAACCUACCUAUAAGACUGGGAUAACUUCGGGAAACCGGAGCUAAUACCGGAUAAUAUUUAGCUUCGCAUGAAGCAAUAGUGAAAGACGGUUCUGCUGUCACUUAUAGAUGGACCCGCGGUGUAUUAGCUAGUUGGUGAGGUAACGGCUCACCAAGGCAACGAUACAUAGCCGACCUGAGAGGGUGAUCGGCCACACUGGG
rnacentral:rRNA from 1 species